rnacentral:rRNA from 1 species
GACGAACGCUGGCGGCGUGCUUAACACAUGCAAGUCGAACGGAAAGGCCCUGCUUUUGUGGGGUGCUCGAGUGGCGAACGGGUGAGUAACACGUGAGUAACCUGCCCUUGACUUUGGGAUAACUUCAGGAAACUGGGGCUAAUACCGGAUAGGAGCUCCUGCUGCAUGGUGGGGGUUGGAAAGUUUCGGCGGUUGGGGAUGGACUCGCGGCUUAUCAGCUUGUUGGUGGGGUAGUGGCUUACCAAGGCUUUGACGGGUAGCCGGCCUGAGAGGGUGACCGGCCACAUUGGGACUGAGAUACGGCCCAGACUCCUACGGGAGGCAGCAGUGGGGAAUAUUGCACAAUGGGCGGAAGCCUGAUGCAGCAACGCCGCGUGCGGGAUGACGGCCUUCGGGUUGUAAACCGCUUUCGCCUGUGACGAAGCGUGAGUGACGGUAAUGGGUAAAGAAGCACCGGCUAACUACGUGCCAGCAGCCGCGGUGAUACGUAGGGUGCGAGCGUUGUCCGGAUUUAUUGGGCGUAAAGGGCUCGUAGGUGGUUGAUCGCGUCGGAAGUGUAAUCUUGGGGCUUAACCCUGAGCGUGCUUUCGAUACGGGUUGACUUGAGGAAGGUAGGGGAGAAUGGAAUUCCUGGUGGAGCGGUGGAAUGCGCAGAUAUCAGGAGGAACACCAGUGGCGAAGGCGGUUCUCUGGGCCUUUCCUGACGCUGAGGAGCGAAAGCGUGGGGAGCGAACAGGCUUAGAUACCCUGGUAGUCCACGCUGUAAACGGUGGGUACUAGGUGUGGGGUCCAUUCCACGGGUUCCGUGCCGUAGCUAACGCUUUAAGUACCCCGCCUGGGGAGUACGGCCGCAAGGCUAAAACUCAAAGGAAUUGACGGGGCCCCGCACAAGCGGCGGAGCAUGCGGAUUAAUUCGAUGCAACGCGUAGAACCUUACCUGGGUUUGACAUGGAUCGGGAGUGCUCAGAGAUGGGUGUGCCUCUUUUGGGGUCGGUUCACAGGUGGUGCAUGCCUGUCGUCAGCUCGUGUCGUGAGAUGUUGGGUUAAGUCCCGCAACGAGCGCAACCCUUGUUCACUGUUGCCAGCACGUUAUGGUGGGGACUCAGUGGAGACCGCCGGGGUCAACUCGGAGGAAGGUGGGGAUGACGUCAAGUCCUCAUGCCCCUUAUGUCCAGGGCUUCACGCAUGCUACAAUGGCUGGUACAGAGAGUGGCGAGCCUGUGAGGGUGAGCGAAUCUCGGAAAGCCGGUCUCAGUUCGGAUUGGGGUCUGCAACUCGACCUCAUGAAGUCGGAGUCGCUAGUAAUCGCAGAUCAGCAACGCUGCGGUGAGUACGUUCCCGGG